rnacentral:rRNA from 1 species
GACGAACGCUGGCGGUAUGCUUAACACAUGCAAGUCGAACGGUCACUUCGGUCAUAGUGGCGGACGGGUGAGUAACGCGGGAGAAUCUGCCUUCAGGUCGGGGACCACAGUUAGAAAUGACUGCUAAUACCGGAUGUGCCUUUGGGUGAAAGAUUUAUUGCCUGAAAAAGAGCUCGCGUCAGAUUAGCUAGUAGGUGGUGUAAGAGACUACCUAUGCUCCGAUCUGUAGCUGGUCUGAGAGGACGAUCAGCCACACUGGAACUGAGACACGGUCCAGACUCCGACGGGAGGGAGCAGAGGGGAAUUUUCCGGAAUGGGGGAAGGCGUGACGGAGCAAUGCCGGGUGAGGGACGAAGGCUUUUGGGUCGUAAACCUCUUUUCUCAAGGAAGAUGAUGACGGUACUUGAGGAAGAAGCACCGGCUAACUACGUG